UAUGCCAAAGUGGGCGGGGGUCUGCGAUAGCCGUACGCGGGGGCGGAGCUUGGGGAAGGGGCGGGCCGAAUGCAGGCUUCCGGCGGAAGAGCGCAAGAGCAAGAUGGCCACUACGAAGCGAGUGUUGUAUGUAGGUGGACUUGCAGAGGAGGUGGAUGACAAAGUUCUCCAUGCUGCUUUUAUCCCUUUUGGAGACAUCACAGAUAUCCAGAUUCCUCUGGAUUAUGAAACAGAAAAGCACCGAGGAUUUGCUUUUGUUGAAUUUGAGUUGGCAGAGGAUGCUGCAGCAGCUAUUGACAACAUGUUUAAGCAAAUGGAUUUGCACACUUUUCAGAAUGAAUCUGAGCUCUUUGGACGGACAAUUCGUGUCAAUUUGGCAAAACCCAUGAGGAUUAAGGAAGGCUCUUCUAGACCAGUUUGGUCUGAUGAUGACUGGUUGAAGAAGUUUUCUGGGAAGACGCUUGAGGAGAACAAAGAGGAGGAGGGGUCAGAGCCCCCCAAAGUGGAAACGCAGGAGGGAGAGCCCACUGUAAAAAAGGCCCGGUCAAACCCUCAGGUGUACAUGGACAUCAAGAUUGGGAACAAGCCAGCUGGCCGCAUCCAAAUGCUCCUGCGUUCAGACGUUGUGCCCAUGACCGCAGAGAAUUUCCGCUGCCUGUGCACCCACGAGAAGGGCUUUGGCUUCAAGGGCAGCAGUUUCCACCGCAUCAUCCCCCAGUUCAUGUGCCAGGGCGGUGAUUUCACCAACCACAACGGCACCGGGGGCAAGUCCAUCUACGGGAAGAAGUUUGACGAUGAAAACUUUAUCCUCAAACACACGGGACCAGGUGCAGAGGCGGCAUCUGCACUCCUCCCUCCACGCCCAGGACCACCAGCAGGGUCGGGGGAGCUGACGGGCGCUUCUCUCCCCCAGGCCUGCUCUCCAUGGCCAACUCCGGCCCAAACACCAACGGCUCCCAGUUCUUCCUGACGUGUGACAAGACGGAUUGGCUGGACGGCAAGCAUGUAGUGUUUGGGGAGAUCACGGAUGGCCUGGACGUCUUGCGGCAGAUUGAGGCCCUGAGCAAGAGAAAGGGAAAUGGUGGCAUCUCUCCUGCCACUGCACUGCUUGGCUGAGCAAAGAUAACUCUCGGGAUAAAAUACACGGGCCUUGUGUUCAUUCAUUACUGUUCCACCACUCAGGCUUUUUCCUAUUGAUUUCACUUGGUGACCAGAUGGCAGAAGUCGCUGGAAGUCUGACGACCAGGUACAUAAACAAUAACACUGUUUUUCAGUUGUUCUGGAUGAAAAAGCAAGACUGCAGCUCUAUUCCUGCUAAGCACUGCUUGGUUGGGAGGUGAGGUGUACUCAGUAUAUGCCAACCUUUGGGUAACCGGACAGACAUUCCUGGUGUACCCCUAACUAAGCCAAUCACUGGCUGGGCCUAAAAAUACCAAAUUAAAAAUCAGUUGUCAGUUCUUCCAUUUUAAAGGUAGUCAUUGAUAAGAGUUUCUUUGGUAAUUUGUAGCUGGUGAGCUAACAUGUUUUGACUUUCCUAAUGUGCAAUUAAAAAAAUUAUCAAUAAUUUUCAAAUAAAAUUAUCAAAAUAAUUGGCUAAUUUAAGGUUUAUACUUAUUUUUCCCUGGUGGCUCAGAUGGUAAAAAAUCCACCUGCAAUGCAGGAGACCUAGGUUCUAUCCCUGGGUCGGAAGGUUCCCUGGAGAAGGGAAUGGCAGCCCACUCCAGUAUCCUUGCCUGGGAGAAUUCCAUGGACAGAGGACCUGACGGGCUACAGUCCGUGGGGUCACAAGAGCUGAACAUGACUGAACGACUAAGCACAUGCACAAGAGACAAUCUUUGCUGUUGGGAAGAGACAACUCUUAGGUAAGUACUAGAAUAAAAAAUAGGUUCCACAUUAUGUGCCAGUUCUGAUUCAUGAUGGCCACCUGAGCUCCACAUUCAGGGUUACCAGGCUGCCUCUGGGCUCAGUGUGAGAAAGCUUGGCAGACGCAGUUUCCUAGGCUGAAAGCCCUUUGCAGAUCAAAAAGCUUCAUAGUACAGAUGGGAAAUGAGGCCCAGAGGAGGAAGUCACAAAGUCACAUCCCUAACAUGUAGGCUAGAGCCUAGAUCCCUACACUGUUGGGGAGCUCACCACUUUCCUGUGUCCAUGGAGAGCGGCUCUUCCUGUGCACUGGCUCCCAGAGCCCUUCCCAGGUCCAGGUGGAGGGGCUGCUGUCCCGCAGCCCGGCCCCCUCCUCCACCCCUGCUGUGCUCCUGGAGCCCCUCAGGGCACAGUGUGAACUCCAGGGGUGUCAUCCUGGGCUGUGCCCAUGGGUUGGGGCGGGCCCAGGAUCUGUUUUUAAUGAUAUUUUGGGGUUCGGGCAGCUGGGUUCUGUCUGCCCCAGCAGGUAAAUUAUAGGCUUACCAAGUCAGAAAUCAAACACUCCAGCUGCCGGUGGCCGCUCCAAGGAGAACAGUGGUUUCCGGGAACCUCCCCACCCAGCUCGGCCUAAUUGCCACCUGUCACUCCCCUGGGACGGGGCCCUUUUCUUUGGCUCACAGGCCCCAAGAACAGGACGGAACGCCAGGGUACACAGGGUGACGCAUACUUGCGUGACCAGUCUGUUUUUGACAACUUCUGGACACAGGCAGGUGCUAACCAGCCCUGCCCUCGCCCCACGCCUGGCCACAGGCCACCCAGUGUCCCUGGGUGCAGUGAAUUGCUCCUUAGCAGGAGAAGGCAGACAGUUUUCACUCUACAUGCCAACUCUAAUCUGUUGGUGGUGGCCACUUGAGUUUGGUGCUGAUCACUGUGAAAUUCUCUCCAGAGUUUAAC